AACUCGGCUUUUGGACCUCAUCAUGGCGGCUGUGGACCUAAAGGGAACUAUGAAGGACUUCUGCAGUACGACCUGCCUCUGCUCUUUUAAGUCCUCAAUUAAAUCCCCCAAACACUGCUGCGCGUCUGCGGCAUGUGCAAAAAAGGCUGCUCUACCAAAUGCGGGUUAAUGGUUAAGAACGUCUCUACAGGUUCUGCAGCGACAACUGCCUCGAAGAUUUCCGCAAAGAAAACAGCGCUGCGUGUAAGAACUGCAGCUCCGUCUGCUACAAACCGCUCAGGCUGAACCUGGAGGAGGACACUAAAGACAUCUGCAGUCAGGAGUGUCUGGAAGACUUCAAAAAGGGUAACCAGACACCCAAUCCAUGCACUUGUGCCACAUUUCCCGGCCGGUGUCGGACAUGGUGACUCAUCACGUCGCUGAGAACGUGGUGGAGCUCUUCUGCUCUGGCUCCUGUGUGAUGUCAUACAAGCUACAACCGGAAUUUGCACGCAAGCUUCAAGAAAAUAAAAGUGCAGACCGUAUGAAGAGGAAACACGGAGGCCUGCAGUCUGAACAAGUAAGAAAUACGG